CCAAUAGCGUAUAUUAAAGUUGUUGCAGUUAAAAAGCUCGUAGUUGGAUUUAAGUUUGGUUCAAGAUCACAGUCGUGAGAUUGUGGUGCAUGAAACGGACAUUAUUUGGGAUUGGGGGUUUCUUGGCAUUCAGUUGUUGAGAUUCAACUGCCCAUCGUUUACUGUGAAAAAAUUAGAGUGUUUAAAGCAGGGGUUUCUCCUUUGGAUAUAUUAGCAUGGAAUAAUAAUAUAUGACUCGUAUGGUCUAUUUUGUUGGUUUGCACAUAUGAGUAAUGAUUAAUAGGGGCAGUUGGGGGUAUUCAUACUUGAGCGUCAGAGGUGAAAUUCUUGGAUCGCUGAAAGAUGAGCUAAGGCGAAAGCAUUUACCAAGGAUGUUUUCAUUAA
rnacentral:rRNA from 1 species